rnacentral:rRNA from 1 species
CCUACGGGUGGCAGCAGUGAGGAAUAUUGGUCAAUGGGCGGAAGCCUGAACCAGCCAAGUCGCGUGCAGGAUGAAGGUCCUACGGGUUGUAAACUGCUUUUAUCCGGGAAUAACGCCCCUUACGUGUAGGUCUUUGCAUGUACCGUAUGAAUAAGGACCGGCUAAUUCCGUGCCAGCAGCCGCGGUAAUACGGAGGGUCCGGGCGUUAUCCGGAUUUAUUGGGUUUAAAGGGUGCGUAGGCCGCCUGUCAAGCGUGCUGUGAAAUGUCCGGGCUCAACCCGGGCCUGGCCGCGCGAACUGGUGUGCUUGAGUGGGCGGAAAGCAGGCGGAAUUCGUCGUGUAGCGGUGAAAUGCUUAGAUAUGACGAAGAACCCCGAUUGCGAAGGCAGCUUGCUGCAGCGGAACUGACGCUGAUGCUCGAAAGCGCGGGUAUCGAACAGGAUUAGAUACCCUAGUAGUC